CGUUCAGGGUGACAUUAGCAAGACAGGAGCUGAUAACUACCAGAGCAGGUCACCAGGAGAUCUUUGAGAACGCAGUUCGUUUUCAGCCUGAAAGAAGCAAUUAUAUUAGUCAGCCAAGACGCGCUGGGACUCAGCAUUCACCUCUAAAGUACCUUCAGAGCUCUCAGGCGUUUACAAGGACAGAGCAGCUCGACAGAGACGGAAAGGCUCAUUCACAGAGUAGCAGCCGGGAAAG